CGUUGUGCGUGCAAUUUCGAAUAAGAAAAAUAAAUAAAUAUUCUUGAUUUAUUUAUCAUUAUUAAUCAAUUUCGUUAACCGCGUCGCGCGGCGUGAAGUUGUCGGCGCAUACGACAGACUUAAUUCACUCGUCAUUUAGGGGCGGAAAGUAACAGACGUGUCGGGAGGCCGCGGUACAUCGAGCUGUGAUUGCGUGCACAAUUCUGUCAUAAAGGAGCAACUUAACCUAACGGAGGCGUCAGGGAGGUGGAAGAGGAGGAUUCCGGAGUCAGUAUCGAAAGGUGGAGCAAAAGAACGAGGAAGAUGAUGCGAUGAUGCCGGGGAUGAAUCGGCAAUG